rnacentral:tRNA from 1 species
GCCACGGUAGCUCAGUCGGUAGAGCAGCGGACUGAAAAUCCGCGUGUCGCUGGUUCGAUUCCGGCCCGUGGCACCA